rnacentral:sRNA from 1 species
UCAGACCUCUGUGUAGCUGAGGAUGACCUUGGGCCCCAGUUGCUCCUAUGUGUAUCUCUCAAAUGUUGGAAUUACAACUUGGUACCACGAAAUCAAGCUUUUUAAUUUUUUAAAACCUGUGUCUCUAUCCCCAUCACUUUUUUCAAUGGUUUGAUGUGUCUACUUCUGCUCCACUAUCAUGCCUGAAUUCCAUACAGCAGGAAGAUGCAUGGGAAGGGGUUUGCAAAGCCUUUCUUUGGCUUGUAUCAAGUCAACUCACAAGCUGUUAGUCAUGUGGCUGUAGCCAGCUCAAGGAAUGCCACAAAGUGGCUGGAACCAUGUGUCUAGAUAAAAUGUCGCUAAGUAGGAAGUAGAAAGGAAAAAGAAAUGUACCCACCAAACAGGCAAGAGGGCAUAAGGGACUUCUGUCCAAUUUAAUUGGUGAAAAGGAACAAACCAAGCAAGAUGUGAGGUUUAUCCAUGACUUCCUUCAGAUCUAGAUCCAUCUAACGAGAGGAUUCAAGGUCAACUCUGAGAGGGCCAGAUGGACAACCUACUUCAGCUAACUGACAUCAUCCCCACAUGUACCGUGGCUAGGUGGAAAGCUGAGAAUGACAUCAUGGACUGUGGGUGAUCUUGUGAGCAGUCAAUGAAACAGCAUUUGUGAACAACCCCAACCAAAGUCUAACAUAUAGUUGGCACCAAAACUAUGUGGUUGCAGUGUCCACCUACUCAUCCAUUGACGCUCACAGCAAUUUCUCAAAUCCUAGAGACAGGUGUGGUUGAAUGCGUUUUGUACAAGGCGGACGAGACGGCAGAGACGCUCACUGCGCUCGUCCUGUAGAGACCCACAGGCUCUCUGCUGGGUCUCCUGCCCUGCCUGGGAGCUGCAGCUGCCUUGCGUGGGUGGUACAUCCUGACUGGACCUCCCCACUGCUCUCCCCACAGAAGAAACAAGACAGAGCAGCUCCCUGGCUGUGUGAGGUCAAACUAGAUUAGAGGUUCUUUAUUCUCCAGCAUCCCCAGUGGUUGAGCCCCUCUGAAUGAACUCUCUGGCAUGAACUUGCUUACAAAAGGAAGACAUUUCAACAGGGAAGCAACUUCCAGCUCUCACAGUUCGGAGUUCCGGAUCAUUGGCUUUCCUGACCUUGCAGAUGGCUGGGGCUGUCUUACUGUGCUGGGCUGAUGUCCACAAGUACUAGCCCUGAUUACACAGAGAGUCGGCGUCUCUGAGCCUCUUCUUUUCGGCCUUUAGACUACUUUAGCCCAGGACUGAUUCUCUCUUAGAAUGUUCUUCAGGGGCACCAGCAAGUCUCACUCUGGGUAACAGAUGAAUAUGUUCUAGAAGGUGGCACUUUGGCUCUCUCUGAGAACCUACCUAAGAUGACAAUGAUGAGAGAUCUGGUGAAAAGAAUUCCACCUUUGUACCAAACAUGCACAUCGGCUCCACCUUAACUUUCAAGUUCUGUGAAAUUCAAAGCGAAAUGGGUCAGACCUCUGCAGCUCGCCACCGCUGUUCUACCAACCUUUUCUAUCUUGUUGGGCAAAACUGGGCCAAAAGAAGGGAUGGACUUGGAGAAGAUAUUGACAGAGUUGGUGUGGGAGGGGAUUCUGUGAGGGUGAAGAGGUUGUACGCAGAGCGAUGCUGCAGUGGGAUCCAAGACUAAGAAGAGUCCCCUGCCAUAGGUGUGCAAGCAAGGCAGAGGCCACAGGGGAGCUGGCCGACCUGCACGGCUGCUGAAAGGCAGCUUGGGAGAGAAUGAGGACAGGAAGAUCUGACCUGAGACUCGAUCAUGCUGCUGCCAAGACCCAAGAGAGGGGAGGUGGCAUUAACAGAUGACAGAACUUGGGGUGACUAGAGGUGGGGCAGAGGGAUUUGGGAAACACGGUACUACUGUUGUUUGUGUUUAUGCUGUCUUUUCUGUUUUCUUUUGUCAGUUCAGAGAACUGAACCCAGAGCCUUGCGCAUGUUAGCCAAAUACCGCUAAGCUGUAUGCCCAACUGUGAUUUGCUUUCAUUAGA